rnacentral:misc_RNA from 1 species
AAGGAGUCCAACAUAUAUGCAAGUAUUAGAGUGUUAAACUCUGAUGCGCAAUGAAAGUGAAUCGUGGGAGCCGCAAGGCGCACCAUGAACCCAUCUGGAAGUCUUUGAUGGACAGAAUGGAGUUUGAGCAUAUCUGUUGGGACCCGAAAGAUGGUGAACUAUGCCUGAAUAGGGUGAAGUCAGAGGAAACUCUGAUGGAGGCUCGUAGAGGUUCUGACGUGCAAAUCGAUCUUCAAAUUUGGGUAUAGGGGCGAAAGACUAAUCGAACCAUCUAGUAGCUGGUUCCCUC